rnacentral:rRNA from 1 species
UCCUGGCUCAGGACGAACGCUGGCGGCGUGCUUCAUACAUGCAAGUCGAACGAGAAGUCACCUUCGGGUGAUGGAAAGUGGCGGACGGGUGAGUAAUGUGUAGAGAAUCUGCCCUUUAGUGGGGGACAACAGUUGGAAACGACUGCUAAUACCCCAUAUGCGCGUAGCUGAGAUGCUAUUCGUGAAAACUCCGGUGCUAAAGGAUGAGUCUGCAUCUGAUUAGCUAGUUGGCGGUGUAAUGGACCACCAAGGCGACGAUCAGUAGCUGGUUUGAGAGGAUGAUCAGCCACAAUGGGACUGAGACACGGCCCAUACUCCUACGGGAGGCAGCAGUAGGGAAUUUUGCGCAAUGGGGGAAACCCUGACGCAAGCAACGCCGCGUGAUUGAAUAAGCCCUUCGGGGUGUAAAGAUCUGUCAGUAGGGACGAAACUUGACGGUACCUACAGAGGAAGCAUCGGCUAACUCCGUGCCAGCCGCUGC